GUCUAGUUGGUGUAGUGGUAGCAUGUCGGUCACGGUAGCAGCCAUGGGUGACUGAGUUGGAUGGGUUCGAUUCCCAUACUGGGCG